GACGAACGCUGGCGGCGUGCUUAACACAUGCAAGUCGAGCGGUAAGGCCCUUUCGGGGGUACACGAGCGGCGAACGGGUGAGUAACACGUGGGUGACCUGCCCUCAGCUCUGGGAUAAGCCCGGGAAACUGGGUCUAAUACUGGAUAUGACUCCACGGUGCAUGUCGUGGGGUGGAAAGCCUUGUGCGGCUGAGGAUGGGCCCGCGGCCUAUCAGCUUGUUGGUGGGGUGAUGGCCUACCAAGGCGACGACGGGUAGCCGGCCUGAGAGGGCGACCGGCCACACUGGGACUGAGACACGGCCCAGACUCCUGCGGGAGGCAGCAGUGGGGAAUCUUGCGCAAUGGGCGAAAGCCUGACGCAGCGACGCCGCGUGAGGGAUGACGGCCU
rnacentral:rRNA from 1 species